GACGAACGCUGGCGGCGUGCUUAACACAUGCAAGUCGAACGGAAGGGCCUGCUUUCCCUUGUGGAUUGCGGGUACUCGAGUGGCGAACGGGUGAGUAACACGUGAGUGAUCUGCCCCCAACUUGGGUAUAAGCCUGGGAAACUGGGUCUAAUUCCCGAUAGGACUGCAGGGUGGUGCCUGUGGUGGAAAACGAUUUUCUAGUGGUUGGGGAUGAGCUCGCGGCCUAUCAGCUUGUUGGUGGGGUAAUGGCCUACCAAGGCGGCGACGGGUAGCCGGCCUGAGAGGGUGGACGGCCACAUUUGGACUGAGAUACGGCCCAGACUCCUACGGGAGGCAGCAGUGGGGAGUAUUGCACAAUGGGCGGAAGCCUGAUGCAGCGACGCCGAGUGGGGGAUGACGGCCUUCGGGUUGUAAACUCCUUUCGACCGCGAGGAAGCCACCUGGUUGGAAGGGUGGUGACGGUAGUGGUAGAAGAAGCACCGGCUAACUACGUG
rnacentral:rRNA from 1 species